GUGCCAGCCGCCGCGGUAAUACGUAGGGGGCAAGCGUUGUCCGGAAUUAUUGGGCGUAAAGCGCGCGCAGGCGGUCUUUUAAGUCUUGUGUUUAAUCCCGGGGCUCAACCUCGGUUCGCAUGGGAAACUGGAAGACUUCGAGUGCAGGAGAGGAAAGUGGAAUUCCACGUGUAGCGGUGAAAUGCGUAGAGAUGUGGAGGAACACCAGUGGCGAAGGCGACUUUCUGGCCUGUAACUGACGCUGAGGCGCGAAAGCGUGGGGAGCAAACAGGAUUAGAUACCCUGGUAGUCC
rnacentral:rRNA from 1 species